GUAUUCUACUAAACUUUGAAGUCGUAAAGAAUUAAUAGUACCUAUUUUGAUCUAUACUAUUAAUUAAUGGAACAUGUUUAGGUGGGCCUAGUUUUUUGGUAAGCAAGAACUGGCGAUGGCGGGAUAGAACCGAAAGUUAAGUUAAAGUGUCGAAAUAUAAGCUAAUUUAGAUAUCAUAAAAGGUGUUGAUUUAUAUAGACAGCAGGACGGUGGUCAUGGAAGUCGAUAUCCGCUAAGAAGUGUGUAACAACAUACCUGCCAAAUGAAUUGGCCCUGAAAAUCGAUGACGCUCAAGCUUAAUACUUAAACUUAACCGUUAUUGCGAAUUAAUUAGCUUUAACGAGUAGGAGAACGUGAAUGUAAUUAAAAGUUUAAUGAAGUGAUUCUAAAUGAAAUUGCAUUUAGUGCAGAUCUUGGUGGUAGUAGCAAAUAUUCAAGUAAAAUUCUUGAAAACCGAUGAAGAGAUAGGUUUCAUGAGAACAGCAAUUGAUCAUGAGUUAGUCGAUCC
rnacentral:rRNA from 1 species